GACGAACGCUGGCGGCGUGCUUAACACAUGCAAGUCGAACGGUGAAGCGCCUUCCUUUUUGGUGGGUGUGGAUGAGUGGCGAACGGGUGAGUAACACGUGAGUAACCUGCCCCCUUCUUCUGGAUAACCGCAUGAAAGUGUGGCUAAUACGGGAUAUUCUGGGUCUGUCGCAUGAUGGGUCUGGGAAAGAUAUUGUUUUGGUGGGGGAUGGGCUCGCGGCCUAUCAGCUUGUUGGUGGGGUGAUGGCCUACCAAGGCGGUGACGGGUAGCCGGCCUGAGAGGGUGGACGGUCACACUGGGACUGAGACACGGCCCAGACUCCGACGGGAGGCAGCAGUGGGGAAUAUUGCACAAUGGGCGCAAGCCUGAUGCAGCGACGCCGCGUGAGGGAUGGAGGCCUUCGGGUUGUGAACCUCUUUCGCCAGUGAAGCAGGCCUGCCUCGUUUGUGGGUGGGUUGACGGUAGCUGGAUAAGAAGCGCCGGCUAACUACGUG
rnacentral:rRNA from 1 species